rnacentral:tRNA from 3 species
GGCCUCUUCGUCUAGCGGUUAGGACGCCGCCCUCUCAAGGCGGAGAUCACGGGUUCGAAUCCCGUAGGGGCCGCCA